UAUGCCUAUUUUUACACUACAGGUUAUCAUUACCGUAAUGUAGAAUACCUCAUGUUCUUAAAAAGUUGUUAAUAAGAUGAUUUCUUGUACAGAAGAAGUUAGAGAGUUCACACUGUUUGUGAGAAAAGUUUAACUGAGUCAUCACGACAUGCUAGAAUUUUAAGCUAGCACAUGUGGAUGUCAUUCAUUACCGUAAUGCAUAACUUUCAUUACCGCGUAAUCUGAGGCCUGUUGCGGUAAUGAGAAACAAGAUUACGGUGAUGAACAGUGUCAUUUUGCAAUAAUAAAUAGAUAAAUGUAUAGGUUAUUUAAACUGUAAUGUUGUUUAUUAUACUUUCAAUUUUUUAGGCUAAAUUUCUAAGCUAAUUUAUGCUAAUUGAUAUCACCUAAUAUGAAGGGCAAAAGGAAGUGAACAGAAGAGGGCGGCAUCAAGAGCUAGGGUGGAAAAACAUAGGCAGAAGAUUUAUAACAAUCCAGACCUUCUAGAGGAGUAUAGAAGAAAGGAAAGGGAAAGGUAUCAGAAGCGCAAGGAAAAAGGGUUGUUAAAGGCAGCUGCAGAUCUGACACCCAGGCAGCUGCAGAAACAGCGAAAAAAAUGGAGGGAAAAUUCUAAUCGAUAUAAUAAAAAGAAGCAAACAGUUAAACACAUACUAAAUGAAACCCCUCCCUCAGAUGACAGUGUGAAUCAAAUCAACCCUCAGCCUCAACCACAACUUUGUAAAAGAUUAAUCCAACCAAAGACCGUGAACUCUAAUCCAUCUGCAACAUCAACUCCAAAGCGGAAAAAAAAAACAGCCAAAUUAAGAGAAAAACUGAGGAAGG